UACGAAGGGGGCGAGCGUUGUUCGGAUUUACUGGGCGUAAAGGGCGCGCAGGCGGCUAUCCAAGUCAGGCGUGAAAGCCCCGGGCUUAACCUGGGAACUGCGUCUGGGACUGGGUGGCUAGAGUUCGGGAGAGGAGAGUGGAAUUCCCAGUGUAGAGGUGAAAUUCGUAGAUAUUGGGAAGAACACCGGUGGCGAAGGCGGCUCUCUGGACCGAGACUGACGCUGAGGCGCGAAAGCGUGGGGAGCAAACAGG
rnacentral:rRNA from 1 species